UCUAAUACCGGAUAUGACGCGUGACCGCAUGGUCUGCGCGUGGAAAGCUCCGGCGGUGCAGGAUGAGCCCGCGGCCUAUCAGCUUGUUGGUGGGGUAAUGGCCUACCAAGGCGACGACGGG
rnacentral:rRNA from 2 species